CGCACGCCUCCUGACUCUCUCCCCAGCAUCUACCCUCCGGUGCACCUGGAGUCACUGAGCCCCCGGGGGGACACCGUCUUCGCUUCUACCCGAGGGGUAACCAGAUGAAGCCAUACUGCCUCUAGUGCUGGAGUUAAGAGGAAGACUCAUCUUCAUGAGUUCAACUCUGGUCUCAGAUAUUUACUUGCUGUGUAACUCUGGGUCAGACUUUCUCAGGACUAAACCACGUGGGUCCAGAAUAGCAGUGGCUUCUAGGGAGAAGGAGAAGGCUGAGAAACUCCUUUUCAGCCCAGCAGCAGUUUGAUACUCACAUCCAGGAAGCUAAAAGUAAAGAGGAAGAAGAGCUACAAAAAAAAGAGGAAAUGAGAGAGAAGAGAAAUGAAGUGACAAGAAGAGAGAUUAAAAAGAAGAGAAGAUAAAAGAUCAGUUAUACUUUUGUCCUACUUGUUGUUCAGUCACUUCAGUUGUAUCUGCCUCUUUGUGAACCCAUUUGGGGUUUUCUUAAAAGCCAUUUUCUUCUCCAGCUCAGUUUUCAGAUGAGGAAACUGAGGCAAGCAGGGUUAAGCAAUCAGUCCAGAGUCAUAUAUAUAGUAAGUAUGAAAUAAAAUUUGAACUCAAUGUC